UAGGGAAUCUUCAGCAAUGGGGGGAACCCUGACCGAGCAACGCCGCGUGAGUGAAGAAGGUUUUCGGAUCGUAAAGCUCUGUUGUUAAGGAAGAACGAGUGUGAGAAUGGAAAGUUCAUACUGUGACGGUACUUAACCAGAAAGGGACGGCUAACUACGUGCCAGCAGCCGCGGUAAUACGUAGGUCCCGAGCGUUGUCCGGAUUUAUUGGGCGUAAAGCGAGCGCAGGCGGUUAGAUAAGUCUGAAUUUAAAGGCAGUGGCUCAACCAUUGUAGGCUUUGGAAACUGUUUAACUUGAGAGCAGAAGGGGGGAGAGGAAUUCCAUGUGUAGCGAUGAAUUACGUAGUUAUAUGGAGGAACACCGGUGGCGAAAGCGGCUCUCUUGUCUGUAACUGACGCUGAGGCUCGAAAGCGUGGGGAGCGAACAGG
rnacentral:rRNA from 1 species